AAUUUCCAUCCACAUUUUAUUAGAAAAUGAUGCAUCAAUUUGCAAAACAUGACUGAGAAUUUCUGAAAAGAAAAUAGUGAGAUUGCUAGAUUAGGUAAGAAAUUGCCAUAGAACUAAGAAGAAAUUACCAUAGAACUAAGAAGAAAUUGAGGGGAGACAUUGUGUGGUGCCCAUGGCCAUGUAUGUGAAUGUGAUAAAACACCCUGUAACAAUUAAGAAAUUGGAGAAAUCCAGGAGAGUGAGGAUUUGAUUCUUGAUAUUGCAUGCUAACAUUAAGAAUAACAUGGGGAAGGAUGAAGGAGAAAGAAGAUGAAGAAGCUGUGUGUGCUGUUGAAAGUGGAGGAGAAAGU
rnacentral:misc_RNA from 1 species